AAAGGACAUUACUGACCUUUUGUGUUCCAUUUGCUUUCAAAUCACUCAAUUUCUCAAGACCAAAGAGCAUCCUGCAAAAUUGCAGGUACAAUCUGUUUAUUUGGCGCGCCCAAUCCCUCUCUCUCUCCCUCUCUCUCUCUCCACUGUACCGAAGAAGAAUACUUGGCAGUUCACAAGCAACAUGUAAACGUGCAGUACCACCUGCAGGUAAUAAUGUGAGGGGAAGGCUGUGAAAGGGCAAGAUCUUGGGUGUAACCGUCGUAAUGUCCCCCCCAACUCUCGAUCGUCAGGUGAUGAGAAAGAUAGAGGGAGGGAGAGACAUUACAACGGUUACACGGCCAAAUAUCUCCUGUGAAAGGGAUUGUUGCCAUGUUCCACCAGUAGUUGGUUUAUGUAAGUAAUCUCCAAUUCCUAUUCCUGCUCAGUUCAUACUUGCUGAUGUUUGUCUUUGUAAUUAAAUAGUCUUAAACCAUGAUUAGGGUUUAGCAAUCUUCAAUAACUCUUACAAUAAUCAAAAGAAAUGUCACUGUCAGAUUGUUUUACAUGUUAUUCACUGAAAUUAUGCAGAAGUCGGGAUUAGAGUUCAUUUACUACAUCCUUUCAGUUUCCGCUCUUUCGAGUCUUUUGUUUUAAGCCUAUUCUUGAAUGUAAACAUGUAUAACUGA